rnacentral:rRNA from 1 species
AUUGAACGCUGGCGGCAUGCUUUACACAUGCAAGUCGAACGGCAGCGCGGGCUUCGGCCUGGCGGCGAGUGGCGAACGGGUGAGUAAUACAUCGGAACGUGCCCGGUAGUGGGGGAUAGCUCGGCGAAAGCCGGAUUAAUACCGCAUACGACCUGAGGGUGAAAGCGGGGGAUCUUCGGACCUCGCGCUAUUGGAGCGGCCGAUGGCAGAUUAGCUAGUUGGUGGGAUAAAGGCCUACCAAGGCGACGAUCUGUAGCUGGUCUGAGAGGACGACCAGCCACACUGGGACUGAGACACGGCCCAGACUCCUACGGGAGGCAGCAGUGGGGAAUUUUGGACAAUGGGCGAAAGCCUGAUCCAGCAAUGCCGCGUGUGUGAUGAAGGCCUUCGGGUUGUAAAGCACUUUUGGCGGGAACGAAAAGGACUGUGCCAAUACCACGGUUCGAUGACGGUACCCGCAGAAUAAGCACCGGCUAACUACGUG